rnacentral:rRNA from 1 species
ACGGCAGUACCAUGCUGAAUAUACCGGUUCUCGUUAGAUCACCGAAGUUAAGCAUCAUUGGGCGCGGUCAGUACUUGGGUGGGUGACCACCUGGGAACACUGCGUGCCGUU